rnacentral:rRNA from 1 species
AUUGAACGCUGGCGGCAGGCCUAACACAUGCAAGUCGAGCGAGCGGCGGACGGGUGAGUAAUGUAGGGGGGCUGCCCGAUAGAGGGGGAGAACGACUGGAAACGGUAGCUCAUAACGCAUACUAUCGGAUAACCCAUAUGGGAUUAGCUAGUAGGUGAGGUAAUGGCUCACCUAGGCGACGGUCCCUAGCUGGUCUGAGUGGACGAUCAGCCACACUGGGACUGGGACACGGCCCAGACUCCUACGGAGGCAGCAGUGGGGAAUAUUGCACAAGGGGCGCAAGCCUGAUGCAGCCAUGCCGCGUGUAUGAAGAAGGCCCUAGGGUUGUAAAGUACUUUCAGUCGGGAGGCGUUACCGACAGAAGAAGCACCGGCUAACUCCGUGCCAGCCGCCGCGGUAAUAC